GAUGAACGCUGGCGGCGUGCCUAAUACAUGCAAGUCGAGCGAACAGACGAGGAGCUUGCUCCUCUGACGUUAGCGGCGGACGGGUGAGUAACACGUGGAUAACCUACCUAUAAGACUGGGAUAACUUCGGGAAACCGGAGCUAAUACCGGAUAAUAUAUUGAACCGCAUGGUUCAAUAGUGAAAGACGGUUUUGCUGUCACUUAUAGAUGGAUCCGCGCCGCAUUAGCUAGUUGGUAAGGUAACGGCUUACCAAGGCAACGAUGCGUAGCCGACCUGAGAGGGUGAUCGGCCACCCUGGAACGGGGACAACGUCCCGACUCCUACGGGAGGCAGCAGUAGGGAAUCUUCCGCAAUGGGCGAAAGCCUGACGGAGCAACGCCGCGUGAGUGAUGAAGGUCUUCGGAUCGUAAAACUCUGUUAUUAGGGAAGAACAAAUGUGUAAGUAACUAUGCACGUCUUGACGGUACCUAAUCAGAAAGCCACGGCUAACUACGUG
rnacentral:rRNA from 1 species